GGCUUCCUUCUGACCGUGACCGUGUGCUUCCACGUCCGACGGGCUCCGAGGUAGUUGAGUCUGUUUGCUCCCUUCCCCCGCCCUCUGUCACCUUUAAUGCUUAGUUGCUUCGUUUGCAAAGUCCUGACACCGUGGGCGUCACGGAGGCGAAAGUAAAAAGCCUCCUCUGCGCCUCCCCAGAUUCUCGGGAGGCUGGACGCUCGGGCCAGACGGUCAGGCCCAUCAGACCACAAGGCUUCCGUAGGGGGCGAGGGCCCUGGACUAGCUUUGACUUGGCCUUCCUGGACCCGUGCUGACGUCACGGCCCCAGAACUCGUUGGGUCUGCGGAGGAGGUAACAAGUUCGAAUUUUGUAUCUCUUCGUAGUUAUUCCCAUCUGUUACUGAUGUUUAAGUCCGCGUCGCCAUCGGAUUCUCCAGCUCGGACUUUGCCUUUGCCUUUGAGGCUAACAUUCUGUUACUUAUUUUUGUUUUCUACUCUUCUCCUUCAGAGUAAAGAAGAUUCGUUUAAAUGAAAUGCGAAGCUAUCUCCUCAUUCUAUUUCCGACCCCUGCGGUGCGUUUUGGCGUUUAUUUUUAGAAACCCCUGGGCGUCGGAAGUCAGGUCUCUGCCACUGCAGACUGCAGACUCCUGCUAGGCGCCCAGAGCUUGCCUCGAGACGCAGCCCCUCCCUCCAGGAGGACCCGCGGCUGGGACUGGAAAGAAGAGGAGAUCGGCAGGACCCCAAAGUAGAACCACCGGCCUGCAAGGGUCAGGACACGCUCCGCCCAAGGAGCCAACUGAGGAUCCGACUGGAGGAGGCGAGAGGGGGCGAUGAGCCUCAGAAUCUGGCAGACAACUUCCAGAAAGUUCGACAGGCCUGUUUCAAAGGAGCCUGGACACGAAUAAUACAGAAUAGUAACCUGGUUGCCCGCAACGGGAAAGUUCUCUCUCCGGAGCUGGAGAAAGGAUUUGAUUAGGAGUUAGGGAGUUUAGGGUCUCGAGAUCCCCAGGGGUCAGAGGGUAGAAUAACUCUAGCUAUGCCUGAGUGCUGGCCUGUGGGGAGGGAGGGCCAGAAAGGCUCUGUGUGCUGCCGGAUUCCACGCGAGGCUGCUACCCACCUACGUUUAGAGCUUUUGCGGGGGGGGGGAAUUUUUCAGAAAAAAAUGUGAACCCCCAAAACAAAAAUAAUCUAACCAGAUCGGCUUAGUUAGGCCUGGGAGAGGUGGCCUGUCUUUUCUCCCGCCUGAGGCUAGUCCUGACACUUAGAUGAACUCACGGGAGACAACGGUUUCGGGAACCUCAGCUCUUGCGAUGAGCUGCUGGAUGGAACCUUUUUUUUUUUUUCCUUUCCCAGAGACAGUUUUUUUUUUUUUCCCACAAUGUAACCAGCCCUGCCUGGACUCGCUUUGUAGACCAGGCUGGACUUGAACUCACAGAGAUCCUCCUGCCUCUGCCUUUCCAGCGCUGGGAUUAAAGGCGUGCACCGGCUGAAACUCCUUUUUUUAAAGGCAGGAGGUAUCGCAUCCUGCAAACCAAGCUCAAGCCAAACCACAGGGUACCCCGACUCGGGUGCUCUUUCCUCGAGUUGAUGAUAUAUCUCCACGGGUCUGAGACUCCAAGCUCUCUUUCCACAAGUCGAGGGUAGGAGUGUUCACGUGAUGAAUGUUAAGGAAGGAAUCAGAAAAAAGAGCCUGUUCUGGACUGAGAUAACCACGCCCGUGUCGGUUUCCCAGGCCCUUCCUGGUGUUAGUUAGUUUCUGCUGAUAAGAGCCCUUGCCCAAAAAGGAGAGGACUGGAAGUGAUGACCCAGCCUUAGGGAGCAUAUGUCCAACAGGAAGACGACGACGACCACCACCACCACCACGCACAUCCUAACAAAACUGCACCACUAGGACUUCAGUGCAGGUUUGGACACACCUUCAUGUACACACGAAGUAGAUGCCCACGGGAGUGCGCUCACCUCUGACGUUCUCACACCCAAGGGACCCUUUCAAAAAGUUUGACUUCACAGUAUGCUCUCACAAACAUGUUCGCCUGCGGGCCCAGUCAAACCCAGACGCCUGCAGAGUUCAACGUCGCAUUGUACACUCAAUGCAAUGCAGUGUACACUCAGCAUUGGGCACAUCCUUAGGCAAUAGUAUGCUAGUGCACAGAACCUCAGACCUUCUCCGCCUGCUGGGACCCACCCGGUCAGAAAGAGCCCAAGACCGCCACUCCAAACGAAGUGACUGACAACGAGGACCCAACUCACACUUUCAGAAAUGCCCUCAGCUCGGGCGGGUCUCGGGCGGGUGGGGAUGGGGUGCGUGUACCCAGCUAAGAAGUCCUCCACACACUCAUGCUCAGUCAACGCCAUCCAUCACUCAGGGCCACUCCACAGCAGGGGCCCAAAGGGAAGGCCCAGGUGGGGACCCGGGAUGAUGCGGAGUUGGGGGCCCAAGAAUGAAGAUUCUGUACUACUGACUAGGAGAAGGGCUGGGGGCAUCAAUGCGGGGACCUGGGAAGCAUUGACUUUUGCGCUGUUUGCCCGCGGCCUCGGAGCAAGCAGACGCCAUCUGUUUGCCGGCUGCGACGCGUCGCGUUUAAUUACCCUCUCGGCAGCCUAAUAGAGAUGAUAUUAAACUAAAUCUUUCUGACAUUAAAAGUAAUUAUCCCCAAACCGGUGGCUCCGGGACGGAGUUGCCCCUCCCGUACAGACCCCUUUCCAAAGCUCUGGAUUCCGUUGGUUUGGCUCAAACUCUACACCUGAGAAGGGGCUGGAGGAAGGAGAAGGCGCCUUGGGAGACAGUGUCUCCGAAGGCAGGCAUUCCUGACAAGCGUUUUUCCGCACCAUAGUAGCUCCUGUUCCUGCGUGGACGCAGGCGUGGACGCCAGCACACGAGACAUUUUCCUCCAGUCUUACUAAUUAAGCCUUCCAGUCGUGCGUGCCCAGCGCGAAUGGAGAGAGAGGCAGCCUGGUUCUGUUGAAAGGGUCCUCGGUGGAAGGCCUAGGCUAGGGCCAAGAAAAGUCGGACACAACUUUGGAGUUUGGAAACAAAACAACGAACCGGCACCGCCCACUGUGACUCUGGGUUUUUAAUGUGUUCCUCCUGUGAGGGCUACAGCGUCUAGCAUUUUCCCUGCAGUGAUUUCUGAAGACCCACCUUCCCCCAUUAGGUCCUAUUAUCUCACUUUUCAGGUGAGAAACCAAUUCCUAGCUGGAAGGCGGUACAAAUUUCAAGCACGGAAUACCCUUCCCUAGCCAGUUGUGCAAAGCUCUGGGUUCUACUUGAGGCUUUUCCCUGCGCUCGGGGGUCUAUUCCGCUGCUCCACUUCUUGGGGAAAGGGGCACGGGGCUUCUUACUCUCAAGCAGCAGGUGGAAGGGCCAACUGAGGGGAAGCAGGGACCACACCAGUGCAGAGAAUAGCAGGAGGAGCCAACACGAAGCCCCAGUCAGUAGCCACAGCCACAGCCACAGCCACUGCCCUCCUAGGACAAGCCCUGCAAAGGAGUAGGGGUUGCACAAGGUUUCAAGGCUUUCUGUUUUGAAGUGUCUCCGGUGUUUGCCACUCAGCUAAACCGUAGGUGUGACCUGUGUUGCUUAGCUCUCAGUGUUUUUAGAAAGUGCAAUGGCCCAUUUCAGACCUGAGUGGCCCAGAGCAGUGAGGGAACUGACUUGGAGAACACUAUGCUGCUCAGAAAUCCAGACCUAGUUGUAGGUCCUUGUCCCCUCACCUCCGUUCUGGGUACAGUAUGGGGCAUAGCGAUUACUUUUAGGGUUGAUUUCAUUAAAUUUAGUAGUUAUUGCAGGAAAACUGAGAAUCUGGCCACUCAUGUAUUUGUUGAGCCUCUAGAAUGUGCCCUGCUCAGAGGGGCGGAGAUUAACUACUUGUAAUGUGUUCUUACAGAGUUCACUGAUCAACUAGGCACAUGGUCACACACCCACCGUUGACCUCACAGUGCGAAAGCAGUGGGUGUGGAAGAGGCUUCCGGAAGAGGCCCUUGAUAUGAGUAUCAGCUUUCCCAAAUGGACUCUGCCAGAGCUUGUUCUCAUAAAGUAAAUAUCUUAUAAACGUUUUAGAAAAUGUAACAGAAUAUAUUUUAGUAUAUAUCUUUGUAAACUAUUUUUGUGUGCUCAUUUACCAAUAUAUGCACCAUGUUUACAAACAUAAGCAUUUUUCAUAAUCUUUAAAAGAAUUAUGGAUGUAUCUUGUUUAGCCAAUUCUUUUAAAUGGUUAGUCUUCAUUUUAUGCUCUAAUAAUAUUGCUAUCAUGAGCAUCCUUUAUGAAUGUGACCAAUUAAUUCCUCAGGAUAAACUACUUGAAAUAA